rnacentral:rRNA from 1 species
GCCUGAGAAACGGCUACCACAUCCAAGGAAGGCAGCAGGCACGCAAAUUACCCAAUCCCAGCCCGGGGAGGUAGUGACGAAAAAUAACAAUGCGGGACUCUUCCGAGUCUGCGUAAUUGGAAUGAGCACACUUUAAAUCCUUUAGCAACAACCAAUUGGAGGGCAAGUCUGGUGCCAGCAGCCGCGGUAAUUCCAGCUCCAAUAGCGUAUAUUAAAGUUGUUGCGGUUAAAAAGCUCGUAGUUCGAGCUCCGUUCCGGACUGGCUGGGGAGGUCACCGCCCGGUGCUUGCCCGUCAGGCUCCGAACAGCUUUUAUGACUAAAAGCCAAGCCGGUUUCGCCGGGGUGCUCUUCACCGAGUGUCCCGCGCGGCCGGCCAGUUUACCUUGAAUAAAUGAGAGUGCUCAAAGCAGGCUACUCUUAAAAAUAAAGCCCGAAUGUUACCUGCAUGGAAUGAUGGAAGAUGAUCUCGGUUCCAUUUUAUUGGUUCUGGGAAUCCGAGUUAAUGAUAAACAGGGAC